rnacentral:rRNA from 1 species
GAUGAACGCUGGCGGCGUGCCUAAUACAUGCAAGUCGAGCGAACGGACGAGAAGCUUGCUUUUCUGAUGUUAGCGGCGGACGGGUGAGUAACACGUGGAUAACCUACCUAUAAGACUGGGAUAACUUCGGGAAACCGGAGCUAAUACCGGAUAAUAUUUUGAACCGCAUGGUUCAAAAGUGAAAGACGGUCUUGCUGUCACUUAUAGAUGGAUCCGCGCUGCAUUAGCUAGUUGGUAAGGUAACGGCUUACCAAGGCAACGAUGCAUAGCCGACCUGAGGGGGGGACGCACAACCAUGGAAAUGGACACGGUGCCAGGACCCCCAGGGGGGGACAAGGGGGGAAUAUACGGAAAGGGGCGAAACCCUGGAGGAAAAAGGCCGGGUGGGUGAGGAAGGCCUGUGGGCCGAAAACCCUUUUUAUUAGGGAAGAAAAUAUUGGAAAGUCAAGGUACCAACUAUGACGGACCCCAAGAAGAAAGCCAGGGCGAACUGGGU